rnacentral:rRNA from 1 species
CAGCCGCCACGGUAAUACGUAGGGGGCGAGCGUUGUCCGAAGUUACUGGGCGUAAAGAGCGCGUAGGCUGGUCUUUAAGUGAGUGGUGAAAGGUUCGGGCUCAACCCGGACACUGCCUUUCAUACUGGGGACCUUGAGUGUGGGAGAGGCGAGUGGAAUGGUCGGUGUAGCGGUGAAAUGCGUAGAUAUCGAUCGGAACACCCAUGGCGAAGGCAGCUCGCUGGCCUAACACUGACGCUGAGGCGCGAAAGCGUGGGGAGCAAACAGGAUUAGAUACCCGCGUAGUCCCUGUCUCUUAUAA